rnacentral:rRNA from 1 species
UACAGAGGGUGCGAGCGUUAAUCGGAAUUACUGGGCGUAAAGCGUGCGUAGACGGCUAUCUAAGUCGGGUGUGAAAGCCCCGGGCUCAACCUGGGAAUUGCAUUCGAGACUGAAUAGCUAGGGUACGGUAGAGGGAAGUGGAAUUUCCGGUGUAGCGGUGAAAUGCGUAGAUAUCUGGAGGAACACCGGUGGCGAAGGCGGCAUCCUGGACCAACACUGACGCUGAUGAGCGAAAGCCAGGGGAGCAAACGGG